rnacentral:rRNA from 1 species
CAACCUGCCGUCUACUCUUGGACAGCCUUCUGAAAGGAAGAUUAAUACAAGAUGGCAUCAUGAGUCCGCAUGUUCACAUGAUUAAAGGUAUUCCGGUAGACGAUGGGGAUGCGUUCCAUUAGAUAGUAGGCGGGGUAACGGCCCACCUAGUCUUCGAUGGAUAGGGGUUCUGAGAGGAAGGUCCCCCACAUUGGAACUGAGACACGGUCCAAACUCCUACGGGAGGCAGCAGUGAGGAAUAUUGGUCAAUGGGCGGGAGCCUGAACCAGCCAAGUAGCGUGAAGGAUGACUGCCCUAUGGGUUGUAAACUUCUUUUAUAAAGGAAUAAAGUCGGGUAUGUAUACCCGUUUGCAUGUACUUUAUGAAUAAGGAUCGGCUAACUCCGUGCCAGCAGCCGCGGUAAUACGGAGGAUCCGAGCGUUAUCCGGAUUUAUUGGGUUUAAAGGGAGCGUAGAUGGAUGUUUAAGUCAGUUGUGAAAGUUUGCGGCUCAACCGUAAAAUUGCAGUUGAUACUGGAUAUCUUGAGUGCAGUUGAGGCAGGCGGAAUUCGUGGUGUAGCGGUGAAAUGCUUAGAUAUCACGAAGAACUCCGAUUG